rnacentral:misc_RNA from 1 species
UCCGGGUUGGACCCGGCGGUCCCGCCAGACAUCGUAACUGGCAGCGAGGGUUGCGCUCGUUGCGGGACUUAACCCAACACCUCACGGCACGAGCUGACGACAGCCAUGCAGCAUCUGUGCGCGCUCCCUUGCGGGUCCUCCCCCUUUCGGAGUCGUACCACGCGCAUGUCAAGCCCAGGUAAGGUUCUUCGCGUUGCGUCGAAUUAAACCACAUCAUCCACCGCUUGUGCGGGUCCCCGUCAAUUCCUUUGAGUUUUAAUCUUGCGACCGUACUCCCCAGGCGGCAUGCUUAUCGCGUUAGCUUCGCCACAGAAGGGGUCGAUUCCUCCUACACCUAGUUUCCAUCGUUUACGGCGUGGACUAC